rnacentral:rRNA from 1 species
UACGGAGGGUGCAAGCGUUAUCCGGAUUUACUGGGUUUAAAGGGUGCGUAGGUGGGUCUGUAAGUCAGUGGUGAAAUCUCCGGGCUUAACCCGUAAACUGCCAUUGAUACUACAGGUCUUGAAUUUUCCGGAGGUAAGCGGAAUAUGUCAUGUAGCGGUGAAAUGCUUAGAUAUGACAUAGAACACCAAUUGCGAAGGCAGCUUACUACAGGAAACAUUGACACUGAGGCACGAAAGCGUGGGGAUCAAACAGG